rnacentral:rRNA from 1 species
GACGAACGCUGGCGGCGUGCUUAACACAUGCAAGUCGAACGGAAAGGCCCUGCUGUUGUGGGGUGCUCGAGUGGCGAACGGGUGAGUAACACGUGAGUAACCUGCCCUUGACUUUGGGAUAACUUCAGGAAACUGGGGCUAAUACCGGAUAGGAGCUCCUGCUGCAUGGUGGGGGUUGGAAAGUUUCGGCGGUUGGGGAUGGACUCGCGGCUUAUCGGCUUGUUGGUGGGGUAGUGGCUCACCAAGGCUUUGACGGGUAGCCGGCCUGGGAGGGGGAACGGCGACAUGAGGACUGAGAGACGGAGCAGUCUCGUACGGUGGACAGCGGUGGGGAAUCUUGCGCAGUGGGCGGAAGCCUAUGACAGAGGCGCCGGGGGCGGGAAGAAGGCCUACGGGUUGUAAACCGCUUACGGCUAAGACGAAGCGUGAGUGACGGUAAUGGGUGAAGAAGCACCGGCUAACUACGUG